CGCGCAGGCGGCCAUCCUAGUCAGGCGUGAAAGCCCCGGGCUUAACCUGGGAAUUGCGCUUGAUACUUGGUGGCUGGAGUUCGGGAGAGGAUGGUGGAAUUCCCAGUGUAGAGGUGAAAUUCGUAGAUAUUGGGAAGAACACCGGUGGCGAAGGCGGCCAUCUGGACCGAAACUGACGCUGAGGCGCGAAAGCGUGGGGAGCAAACAGGAUUAGAUACCCUGGUAGUCCACGCUGUAAACGAUGUGUGCUAGACGUUGGCGGGCCUAGCCUGCCGGUGUCGCAGCUAACGCGGUAAGCACACCGCCUGGGGAGUACGGCCGCAAGGUUAAA
rnacentral:rRNA from 1 species